rnacentral:rRNA from 1 species
UACGAAGGGGGCUAGCGUUGCUCGGAAUCACUGGGCGUAAAGCGCACGUAGGCGGACUCUUAAGUCGGUGGUGAAAUCCUGGAGCUCAACUCCAGAACUGCCUUCGAUACUGGGAGUCUCGAGUCCGAGAGAGGUGAGUGGAACUGCGAGUGUAGAGGUGAAAUUCGUAGAUAUUCGCAAGAACACCAGUGGCGAAGGCGGCUCACUGGCUCGGUACUGACGCUGAGGUGCGAAAGCGUGGGGAGGCAAACAAGG